GAGAGAGAGAGAGAGAGAGAGAGAGAGAGAGUUCGGCUACUAUGCUAUUAAUAGCACGAAACACUUGGUGCUACUAAGUUUUCCACAGUUAGAUCUACCUUUUUGAUCAUUUUCAUCCGUUAAAUCAUACUAUUCAACCAACCACCCACUCAACCCUAGGGGGCCCACAUCAUUCUAACCGCAUAUCUCUUAAUCUAAUGGCCAAAAACUUGGUAGCACCAAUGACUUGGUGCUAUUAAUAGUAUAUUAGUCUAGUUUUAUAUAUAUAUAUAUAUAUAUAUAUAUAAUCCAUAGUUAGUUAAUUCGCAUACUGUAAAAAUUGGGUAUGGAUAUAAUACGAAUAAAAUUUGUAUAUUGAUUUUUAAAUUCGUUGAAAAAUACAUUUUUAAAAAAAGGAUUCGUCAAUAAUUCGAAUACGUGAUUUAUAAAAAAAUUUUACGUUUAUCAUUAAAUAAUUUGAAAUAAAAAUUCGUAUAUUAAGUUAAACUUUUUUUUUAGAUUUAUGCUAUUAUUAUAAAUAAUUAUAAAUUUUUUGAAUAUAAAAAUAAAAAAUAAAAAAUAAAAUGGAUCAAAUAAUAUAUAUAUAUAUAUAUAUAUAUAUAUAUAUAUAGGGAUAAUUGCCAAUAUACCCUUCAUGCGUUUGAAUAUAUCCGAUUUAUCCCUACUUUUUUUUUCUUUCUAAAAUACCCCUCAUAUGUUCCACCGUUAUUCCAAAAUACCCUCGCAGUUAUCCCCUGUUAAACUAACUCGGGUUAAACAUGGGUUAAAUGUAUACCAGAGUUAAAACCUAAUUAAAAUACCUAUUUUACCCCUAUCUUAUUAAACUAUUUCCUUAAAUUAUCCUUUCUUUCUCUCCCAACUUAACAUUAUUACUCUCGAUCAAGCCCGCCGCUCGCCGCCCGCCGCCCGCCGCCACGAGCGCCAGCAGCUCAUCGCCACCGCCAACCUCGGCGCCGGCUCCUCCGCCUCCACCUUCGCCCCCGAAGCCUCGCCUUAUUCGCACAAAAAAAACGGCCCGUGAGUCGCCGCUCUCGUCGUCGUCGUCGUCCUCUUCC
rnacentral:lncRNA from 1 species